rnacentral:ncRNA from 2 species
UUCUUAUCCAGAGAGGUGGAGGGACUGGCCCUUUGAAACCUCGGCAACCAUUAAACAGAUUCUUGUUUAAUAUAGGUGCUAAUUCCACUAAGCAGAAUAGCUUAGAUAGAUAAGAG